rnacentral:rRNA from 1 species
GAUCCUGGCUCAGGAUGAACGCUGGCGGCGUGCUUAACACAUGCAAGUCGACGGAAACUACUCGCUGAAGCGAGCUUGCUCAAUUCUUGAGUAGUUUUAGUGGCGGACGGGUGAGUAACGCGUGGGUAACCUGCCAUGUACCGGGGGACAACAGUUGGAAACGACUGCUAAUACCGCAUAAGCGCACAGGACCGCAUGGUCUGGUGUGAAAAACUCCGGUGGUACAUGAUGGACCCGCGUCUGAUUAGCUAGUUGGUGAGGUAACGGCCCACCAAGGCGACGAUCAGUAGCCGGCCUGAGAGGGUGAACGGCCACAUUGGGACUGAGACACGGCCCAGACUCCUACGGGAGGCAGCAGUGGGGAAUAUUGCACAAUGGGGGAAACCCUGAUGCAGCGACGCCGCGUGAGUGAAGAAGUAUUUCGGUAUGUAAAGCUCUAUCAGCAGGGAAGAAAAUGACGGUACCUGACUAAGAAGCCCCGGCUAAAUACGUGCC